CAACAACAAAAAAUACUGAGAGUGUCAUUGAAACCUAGCCAGCAAGAAAGCUUGUGAGCCAGAUAAAAAGUUAGGAAAUCUCUGUCAAUCAAGAGUUCCAGUAACUCAGGCCGGCCAAUACUUCUAAGAUGUCAGCAGUCAAUGGCGCCUGCACCUCAUCUAUCAAAGUGAGGGAGAACGUGGUGAAACUGAGUGGAUUUACAUUGCAUGCAGGAGAGAUGCAGAAUGGCU